GGGGGAAUAUUGCACAAUGGGCGCAAGCCUGAUGCAGCCAUGCCGCGUGAGUGAAGAAGGCCUUAGGGUUGUAAAGCUCUUUCGCCGGUGAAGAUAAUGACGGUAGCCGGAGAAGAAGCCCCGGCUAACUCCGUGCCAGCAGCCGCGGUAAUACGGAGGGGGCUAGCGUUGUUCGGAAUUACUGGGCGUAAAGCGCACGUAGGUGGAUUGUUAAGUCAGGGGUGAAAUCCCGAGGCUCAACCUCGGAACU
rnacentral:rRNA from 1 species